rnacentral:rRNA from 1 species
AUGGACGACCAGCAGGUGCUCCUUGGCAUCUCCAGGAGCGAUAUGCUCGCCAGAAUAGAGCGUUGCGGCCGGGAUCCUGCGAUGCUGGACCUCGGCUCAAACAUGCUGCUCCACUUCGCGUACGAGUACCUCCCGGACCCGCCCGUCUCCCCCACCGCGCCCCUCUCGCUCGCCGGCGCGUCGUGGGUCCCCGACGGCGUCGACCGCAUCAGCCGCCUCCCCGACGAGCUCCUCCGCGACAUCAUAUCCCGCCUCCCCGCCAAGGACGCCGCGCGCACCGCCGCUCUCGCCUCGCGCUGGCGCCCACUCUGGCGCUCGGCGCCCCUUACUCUUGUCGACAGCCAUCUGCUCCCGGACGGCGGCGCCUCUGGCCCGUUGAUCAUCGGCGCUCCCUCUCCCCGCGCCGUCACCGGCGCAGUGUCCAGCGCCCUCGCGGCGCACCCGGGGCCUUUCAGCUGCGUCCACUUCACCUGCAGCACCAUGGACGAGCACCGAGGCGAGAUGGCGCACUGGGUCGACACCCUCGUCGCCAAGGGGGUCCAAGAUCUCGUCUUUGUCAACCGCCCUUGGCCGAUUGACCUGCGCCUCCCCGCCACGCUCUUCAGCUGCGCCUCCCUCACCCGCCUCUAUCUCGGCGUCUGGACACUUCCAGGCACCACCGCCGUGCCGCGCGGCGCCAGCUUCCCAAAUCUCCGGGAGCUCGGCCUCUGCAUGACUGUCAUGGAGGACCGUGCUCUGGCCUUCUUGCUCGAAAGAAGCCCCGUCCUGGAGUUCCUCCUCAUCAUGUGGAGCCAGACCGGAGCGCGCCUCCGACUCGUCAGCCACAGCCUGCGGUGUCUUCAGCUGGGCUAUACCCACUUGAAGGACAUCGAAGUGGUGGAUGCCCCUCGCCUGGAGAGGCUCUUCCUGAGAAAUGUAUCCUUGCCUGGAACCGGCAAGUUCACCAUAAACAGCCCUUCCAGGAUCAAGAUUGGCGGUGCACCCAACCUGCGUGUGCUGGGGUACAUUCAGCCAGGACAGACAGAGCUGGGGAUUAGCAACACCGUCAUCGUGGCUGGGAGCAAGGAGAACAUUGUCCCUAGUGUCCAGAUUUUGGCCAUAGACGUGCAGUUCGGUAUCCGCAAUGCUGUGAAGAAAGUGCCCGGCUUUCUCCGCUGUUUCCCCAAGCUGGAGACGCUCCAUGUCUAUUCCCCUCCCAUACCUGAAAAGUCCACCGGCAAGGUCAAUCUGAAGUUCUGGGAGGAGGGCGGUCCCAUGAAAUGCAUGGUGCAGAGCAUGAAGAAGGUGUUCUUCUACGAGUUCCAAGGGUCGAGAAGCGAGGUUGCUUUCCUCAAGUUCAUUGCGGAGAGAGGUCGGGUGCUGGAGCUGAUGGUGGUCGUGGUGGCCAAGGCAUGUUUCUCCUCGGUGGAUGAUGAUGUGAAUGUGAAGCUGAAGCCUCUGACGGGUGCGAAAUGGAGCAGCAAAGCUUGCAAACUACAGAUCAUCGAGAGCCCACGCACUGAUGUCGCAGGUCCACUCUGCAGGCACAAUAUAGUUUCUGAUUUUGGGUGGGCUGACCCUUUCGACCUCAGGUACUACUACAAAGCAGAAAGGAUCUCUGUAAGUUACAGUUAA